ensembl:snRNA U6 U6 spliceosomal RNA
GUGCUGGCUUCAGCAGCAUAUAUGCUAAAAUUGGAACAAUACGGAGAAGAUCAGCAUGGCCCCUGCUCAAGGAUGACACGCAAAUUCGUGUAGCAUUCCAUGUUUUU